CGGUUUUCGGAUUGUAAACUUCUGUUCUUAGUGAAGAAUAAUGACGGUAGCUAAGGAGCAAGCCACGGCUAACUACGUGCCAGCAGCCGCGGUAAUACGUAGGUCGCAAGCGUUGUCCGGAAUUACUGGGUGUAAAGGGAGCGCAGGCGGGAUGCCAAGUCAGCUGUGAAAACUAUGGGCUUAACCCGUAGACUGCAUUUGAAACUGGUAUUCUUGAGUGAAGUGCAGAGGUUGGCGGAAUUCCGAGUGUAGCGGUGAAAUGCGUAGAUAUUCGGAGGAACACCGGUGGCGAAGGCGGCCAACUGGGCUUUAACUGACGCUGAGGCUCGAAAGUGUGGGGAGCAAACAGGAUUAGAUACCCUGGUAGUCCACACUGUAAACGAUGAUUACUAGGUGUGGGGGGUCUGACCCCUUCCGUGCCGCAGCUAACGCAAUAAGUUAUCCACCUGGGGAGUACGACCGCAAGGUUGAAACUCAAAGGAAUUGACGGGGACCCGCACAAGCAGUGGAUUAUGUGGUUUAAUUCGAAGCAACGCGAAGAACCUUACCAGGACUUGACAUCCGACUAACGAAGUAGAGAUACAUUAGGUGCCCUUCGGGGAAAGUCGAGACAGGUGGUGCAUGGUUGUCGUCAGCUCGUGUCGUGAGAUGUUGGGUUAAGUCCCGCAACGAGCGCAACCCCUGCCAUUAGUUGCUACGCAAGAGCACUCUAAUGGGACCGCUACCGACAAGGUGGAGGAAGGUGGGGACGACGUCAAAUCAUCAUGCCCCUUAUGUCCUGGGCUACACACGUAAUACAAUGGCCAUCAACAAAGAGAAGCAAUACCGCGAGGUGGAGCAAAACUUCAAAAAUGGUCUCAGUUCGGACUGCAGGCUGCAACCCGCCUGCACGAAGUUGGAAUUGCUAGUAAUCGUGGAUCAGCAUGCCACGGUGAAUACGUUCCCGGGUCUUGUACACACCGCCCGUCACACCAUGGGAGUUGGUAACACCCGAAGUCAGUAGUCUAACCGCAAGGAGGACGCUGCCGAAGGUGGGAUUGACGACUGGGGUGAAGUCGUAACAAGGUAGCCGUAUCAGAAGGUGCGGCUG
rnacentral:rRNA from 1 species